rnacentral:rRNA from 1 species
UACGUAGGGUCCGAGCGUUAAUCGGAAUUACUGGGCGUAAAGCGUGCGCAGGCGGUUGUGUAAGACAGAUGUGAAAUCCCCGGGCUCAACCUGGGAACUGCAUUUGUGACUGCACAGCUGGAGUGCGGCAGAGGGGGAUGGAAUUCCGCGUGUAGCAGUGAAAUGCGUAGAUAUGCGGAGGAACACCGAUGGCGAAGGCAAUCCCCUGGGCCUGCACUGACGCUCAUGCACGAAAGCGUGGGGAGCAAACAGG